GACGAACGCUGGCGGCGUGCUUAACACAUGCAAGUCGAACGGAAAGGCCCUGAGUUUGCGGGGCGCUCGAGAGGCGAACGGGUGAGUAAAACGUGAGUAACCUGCCCUUGACAGUGGGAUAAAUUCAGGAAACAGGGGCUAAUACCGGAUAGGAGCUACUGCAGCGUGGUGGGGGUUGGAAAGAUUCGGCGGUUGGGGAUGGACUCGCUGGUUAUCAGCUUGUUUGUGGGGUAGGGGAUUACAAAGGCUUUGACGGGUAGCCGGCCUGGGAGGGCGACCGGCCACCUUGGGCCUGCGGUACGGCCCAGAAUCCAACGGGACGCAGCGGGGGAGAAUAUUGCACAACGGGCCGGAGCCUGAGACAGCAACGCCGCGUGCGGAAUAACGGCCUUCGGGUUGUAAACAACUUUCGCCUGUGACGAAGCGUGAGUGACGGUACUGGGUAAAGAAGCACCGGCUAACUACGUG
rnacentral:rRNA from 1 species